CCAGCUCUGUUCCUGGGUGCAGGGGUAGGAUCUGGGCUCCUUGUGCUGCUGUUACUGCUGACAGGAGGAGUGCUGAAGUGUCUGCAAUCCAGACGAGACCCUGCUGUCCAGAUUGAACCUGUGUACGCCAAUGUGAAUAAGCUGGAUCGGUCUCCACGGCAACAGGAUGAUACAAUCCCUGAUCCAGAAACACUCCCCCUGUCCCCAAGAAAACAUGUCUGACAGAUCUGAUGUAGAAUACGCAACAGUUGAAACUUCCAGAGGCUGUCUGUUGAUGAGAAAUCCACCCGGUGGAGAAUACUUUUGUGGUUAAUAGUAAACCACCUCAUAUUCACUGUAAACCAAAACGAUCUUUCCAUUUAAUAAAAGCACUUUCUGCUGC